AGCAACAUCUAUGAAAAAGAUAAAUUGCUAUUGCAAUCAACCAUGUGAGAGCAAGAUAAAUGUACAAAUCAUAUUUUCUUCAAACACAUGACCAUAUUCCAUAUCAACACGAUACAACAAUAUCAUAUAAUUGUACAGGACCAACAUUUUCCAUUUUCACAUUUUUAUUUAUAAUUAUAAACCAUUUAUCAAGCCCCAUGAAGACAUCUCUGUUCAAAAUAUAGACAGAACCUAUCAUGCCACAUUAAACAACCAUAACUUGAGUUUCAUAUGCCCAUAAAUUAUGGUUAUAUACUUUCUAGAAAGCUUACUAAAUUAUGAACAACUUUGUUAUAAACAUCUAGAGCAAAAUCUAUAACUAACAAGGUCUUACAUAACAAACAAUGCAUCCCUGUCUGGGUUUAGACAGAAAGAGAAACAAUAGUUUAAAAUAAUAUAACUAAACAUAUGCUUAACCAAAAUUUGUGCAAUUUACCUUUCUGGAAAGAAUAUGAAAAUUACUACAACUCAUAUGUUUUCAUCCAGGCAUGAUUCACAACCUAACUGAGCCAAACAAUAUAAACAUGCAGACCUAGUCAGAAUAUGAGCAAAGCAACACAGGCAAUUUGUUAUUUUUAUAACUCUUAUUCUGUCAUCCCUAAAUUCAUGCAAAUUUUACCAGACAUCAAAUAUUAUAUGUAAAGCAUGUCUCAAUAUUUUCACAUUUAUGUGAGCAAUAAUACAGUGGUUAUGAAAAAGACAAUUACAACAAACAAUUAAAACCGAACUGCACAAAUCUAUUUUUACCGUUAAAACUUCAAACUAAAACAUGCAAUAAUAUAGAUCUACUGCAUAGAGAAUUUCAUAAGGAUUCCAAAAAGUCCGCACUAUUUUACGAAUUUUCUACGAAUUUCUAUGCAUUUCCAAAAUUCAUCCAUAAAAUCUGCAAAAACAAAAAAAAAGGAAAACAGAUCUUGCACCGGGGACCCUGGAUUUUCCAUGAAUCACGCCACAGCCCAUAAACACUAUUUAUAUGAGUGUUGGCUUCGCAUCUAGAACCCUGAGUUCUUUCAUAUUCUAAUCCGAGGUCCCUCCUUCCUUACCGAACAGACGACAGACGCAAGGGAAGGGAGGUCGUGCUCUGCCUGGUCAAGGGAGGACGCCCU
rnacentral:lncRNA from 1 species